CCUGGAAUCAGCUCCGUGGGUUCUGCAGCCUCUUGCCUGGGGCCUUCCUUAGCCUCGACCUGGUUCCCUGAUUCCCCCUUGACCUUCAUCUGGUGACUCCCGCUGGCCCCUGACGCCCCUCCCCAGAGCACAAUGGACUAGGUGCUCCUCUGGACCGCCUCGGCCCCUGUCCCUCCUGUUUCUCUGCACUGGACACGCUGCUCUGUGACUGAGACCCACCAGCCAGCCAGGGGGAUGUGAUCCUGAUCGUUUUGGAAUCCGCAGGGCCCAGCACCCUGCCUGCACCUAGCAGAUGCUCAGCCCACACCUGUUCCCUCUGACACCGCUGGGUAUCUGCAUCCUCAGAACCGCUGUGGUUCUGCCCGCCACCCUCUGCGCAGACCCUCAGGCUGCCUGGCUGGGCACAGGGUCUGAAUUUAAUUAAUUUUUUUGAAACCAGUUUUUUUUCAUAUUCAUUCUAUGAGUGAAGGGAUCUUUUAUAGGUUAAUUGAGGCAAAAAUGGGAAAGAACAUCUGUCUUUUACUCCCACUGAGUGGGUGGCAUCCUCUCUCUGCAGAGGCAGAGCUGCUGAUGAAUGACUUGAAGAGAACAGCGUUCUAAUUCUGGAUCCUCUAUCAGCCUGCUGUGUGACCUGGAGAUAACUGCCUACCCUCUCUUGGCGUCCUCCAUUUAGCAAAUAUUUAUUGCGGUCCUACCACGUUCCCAACAUUUGACAGGAUCGAACAUAGAUCAAGAUCUCUGUCCUCCCAGGAUUUACAGUCUAAUGGAAGGACAGACAAUACAUCAACAAGCCGCCAAAUAAAUAAAUAUCUAAAUAUAAAUUAAGACUGGCACUGGGGAGGAAUUGUAGGACGUGGAGUAACAGAGUCAUGGAGGUGAGCACGGAGCAAACUACUGAAUGAAAAGGCAAAGCUUCAGUCUGAGGGAUACAAACCGGGCAGGUGGAUAAUGACGUGGGCAAUGGCUCUGCCAUGGGUUAGAUGUGAGGAGUCCCCUAUAAGCUCACGUGUGAGACAAUGUAAAAAUGUUCAGAGGCAAAGCGAUUAGAGUAUGAGAGUCAUGACUUAAUCAGAGGAUUAAUCCACUGAGAUGGAUUAACUGGGUGGUAACCGUAGGCAGGUGGGGCGUGGCUGGAAGAAGCAGGUCACUGAGGGCGUGCCCUUGGGUUUGAUGCUUUGUCCCUGGUGAGCAGAGCUCUCUCUGUCUCUGCUUCCUGACUGUCCUGUCCUGACCUGCCCUUCGGCCACCAUGCUCUGCCUCACCUCCAUCCCAGAGAAAUGGAGUCAGCUGACUGUGGACUGAACCCCUGAAACUGUGAGUCAAAAUAAACCUUUUCUCCUUUCAGUUGUCCUCAUCAGGUAUUUAAUCACAGCAACGAAAAAGCUGAUCCACAGAGUCCUGAGGCAUAAAUCAUUGAGAAGUAGAGGAAAGGCCCAUCUGCCUAGAGAAUAAUUGGUGGCAGGGAGAUCUCACCUGGAUGGAGGGAAUGAUUAAUGCCAGACCAGCUGCUUCCCAGGGCCUUAACGAAUGGCAAGAAGCAGAUCAGAUUUUGCCUAGUCCCAAGCUCAUAAUAGUUGCUCAGUAAAUAUUAGUUAAGAGAAUAAAUUAAUGAACUGGUGCUUCCUUUGAAAGAGUUUGGAAUUAUUGACCAGUGAAGACCAGUCAUUACAUUUAUUAAUACAUUUCUAAGAUUCACAUUUGGCCUCCAG
rnacentral:lncRNA from 1 species